CUGCGCCAUGCAGGCCUGUGUGGGAGCCUCCCCUGGGUCUGGGCGUGCAGAUGUAUGGGUGCAGGCCCCCCAACAGUGUGAAGGCAAUGGUCGGUGUGCGCUAGUGUGGACCCCUUCCUAAUCCUGAAUGCAGGAAUUUAUUACCUCUUCAUGACAAUCACAGGCAAUGUUAUCAUGCCCAUGUUUCAGAUGACGAAGCUGAGGCUCUCAGAGCAGGACUCCUAUGGCCAGCUUCGUAGCCACCGCCUCCUGGUCAAGCUCUUGUCAGCAUCCAGCUCCUGGGUGAGUGAGCAGGAGGGGUCCACUCAAGGAGGUGAGUCUGAGGCCCCCAGAUAACACCUCUUUGAAGAUCUAGCCUGGUGUAAAUGUCCUGCAGUCUCAUCGUCUUGAGCCCCUGUCCAGUUGGGUUCUUCCUGUCCCAUCCAGCCACCUCAUUCCUUCAUGUCACCUGCACAGCCUGUGGACACUGAGUUUCUUAACCCCAGCACGAUCUGAAGGAUUGCGUGUUAGACUGAGGAGGUCUGGCAGCGGCAGCUGGGAAAAUUAAAACUAGAGAGCCCUGUAGAAGCUGUGGAUCCAGCAUCAUUAUCAGCGAAAUUGUGGCCGUGAUAAAGCAACAUUUACCUACAG
rnacentral:lncRNA from 1 species